UGGGGAAUAUUGGACAAUGGGCGCAAGCCUGAUCCAGCAAUGCCGCGUGUGUGAAGAAGGCCUUCGGGUUGUAAAGCACUUUUAUCAGGAGCGAAACGCUGUCGGCUAAUACCCGGCGGAACUGACGGUACCUGAGGAAUAAGCACCGGCUAACUUCGUGCCAGCAGCCGCGGUAAUACGAAGGGUGCAAGCGUUAAUCGGAAUUACUGGGCGUAAAGCGUGCGUAGGCGGUUUCUUAAGUCUGCUGUGAAAUCCCCGGGCUCAACCUGGGAAUGGCAGUGGAUACUGGGAGGCUAGAGUGUGUCAGAGGGUGGUGGAAUUCCCGGUGUAGCGGUGAAAUGCGUAGAGAUCGGGGGGCAACAUCAGUGGCGAAGGCGGCCACCUGGGACAACACUGACGCUGAGGCACGAAAGCGUGGGGAGCAAACAGGAUUAGAUACCCUGGUAGUCCACGCCCUAAACGAUGCGAACUGGAUGUUGGUCUCAACUCGGAGAUCAGUGUCGAAGCUAACGCGUUAAGUUCGCCGCCUGGGGAGUACGGUCGCAAGACUGAAACUC
rnacentral:rRNA from 1 species